CUUACACCAAGCUGAUGGGAGUGGGUUCAAGAGAUUAAAAAGAAGAGACAAAGAGAAACAGAGCGUAAAGCUAACUCUUUCAAGGAGCUUUGCUAUAGAGGAGAGCAAAGGAAUCAGAUAUAAGUUGAUGGGGAGAGUGGAGUCAACCUUCCUUUUCCUUUUCCAAGAUGAGAGAAGGCCUGGCAUGUGAGUAUGCUGAUGGAAAUGACCCAGUAGAGACUUAAAAAAAAAUAGAUGAUGUAGAAGAGAAAGGAGAAUUUGGGAGAGGUUCUGGAGCAGAUGGAGAGCAUAGGAUCCGGUACCCACGUGGAAGACAUGGUUUUAGACAGGAACAUAACAAGGUGAGCCAUUAACAGGUGGGAAGGCAGGAGAUAAGCUGUGGAAGUCUGUGAAAAGUGACUGUUUAAAAUUUUUCACAGAGCUCCAAAGAGCUGAUCUUUUAAAAUUAAUUGAUCGAUUGAUUUUCAGCUGCAUCAUGCAGUGUGUGAGUUCUUAAUACCCCAACCAGGGAUUGAACCCACGUCUCCUGCAGUGGACACAUGGGGUCUUAACCCCUGGAUCACCAGGGAAUUCCCUACUUCUGAGUGAAGUAGGAAGUAAUGUAAUCGGCUGGGAGUGAGGAUACUGGAAGAGUCACGGAUUUCAGGAGGUUUGGAACCUUCAGAGCUUCUAAAUAAGAGAGGAAAAAAAACACAAAGAAAAGAGAGCCCAGGUGAAAAAUGAUGACAGUUCGAUGAGGACAGGCUGUUUGCUUACUGGGCGGGAAGCCUGAUAAACUGAAACCUCUCCCUUAUGGUUCCCAGAGAGCUCGACUAUGACCGUAAGACACCAAGUAAUAUCAGAAGGCUGGGAGUUAUCAGAAGAACCCAGUCUAAUUCUCUCUAGAGAAAACAGGAGUGAUGAUCACCUUUCAUUUACUUGCAGGACUUAGUAAGACUGUAUAAGCAGGUUUCUGUAUAAUGCACAGGCUUACGGGUAUUUCGGGGGCUGAAUGCAUCAUAACAUAUCUCACGACUUAGUCUUCUAGAUUUUCUAAACCAUUUUGUUAAAAGUAAUGAAAAUGGAUGCUAUGGGUAACAAUGUCUUUAGUCCUUUCCCUGCUCUUGUAAUCUUGUGCUUAGCCCACAAUCUGGCUUGAACAACCUUCUGGGCUCUUAGACUCUUCACCUCAGUCUGGCAGCCUGGGUCACCAGCUUUGGAGGGGCUGAUUGUACACCCUGCUCUAAAGUACUUAGGAAAGCAUCUGCUUUUCU
ensembl:lncRNA